ACGCACGAGCUCUACAAGGCUUACAUACAGCAGGAUCUCUGGACUGUACAGUAUAUAUACAGUGAUUUAAUUUCUUAUUUUUUUCAUCUCCUGCUUUAUACAGUGUUAGGAUUUAUAGAGCAAUCCUAUGCAGCUUAUAUUUGUGCUAUAAAGAGUGGUGUGAGGAGGAAAGGCAGAGCGCACAGAGGCUUCACCUGGCUGGAGAUCUUACAGCACAGGAGUGGAGAGGAAAGAGUGCUGAGCUGUCAGUGGGAUGGUAGAAGGGUGGAGUGGAGUCCAGGCUGAAGGAGCAUGGUGAAGCACCAACCCCUGCAGGUCUAUGAGAGACAACUGUGCUUGUCCUGUCUAACAGGGAUCUACGGCUGCCGCUGGAAACGUUACCAGCGCUCACAUGAUGACACCACAAAGUGGGAGUGUAUGUGGACCUUCAUCCUCUUCGGGACUUUCACUCUGCUGCUGUUCUGGCUUUACUUCUGGUUAGAAGCAAGCAAUGACUACAGCGCAUAUAACUGGUAUUUAUACAACCAGUCAGGCGAGUGGAGUGAUGGAACUGUUCCCAUACUGGCCACCACCGCUGCAGGCUUCACCUAUAUUGCAUUUUUAAUGAUUUUAGCUUUAUGUCACAUCGCAGUGGGACAGCAGCUGAACCUGCACUGGAUCCAUAAGAUCGGAGUGACGGUAGCUUUACUGACAACCGUCAUCGGCGUGAUAUCCGUUAGUCAGGCCUGGAGCGAGGAGUGGGACAUCUUCUCAAUCUCUCUGCAAGCCACAGGACCGUUCCUGCACAUCGGUGCACUGGCUGCAGUUACAGCAUUGUCCUGGAUCGUGGCUGGACAAGUAGCUCGAGCUGAAAAGACCACGUUUCAGGUAAUAGUUCUGCUCAUCUACCUGGUGGUGCUUCUGAGCCUCUACCUGACCCCGCUGUCCAUCACGUCGCCCUGCAUCAUGGAGCACAAGCCUAAAGCACGGCCUGCCGUCAUCGCCCGCCGCGGAGCUCCCAUGCUGGCUCCAGAGAACACGCUGCUCUCUUUCCAGAGGGCUCUGCAGAGCAACGUCAGCGGGUUGGAAGCUGAGGUGGCCAUCAGUCUAGAUGGAGUACCUUUCCUGAUGAGAGAUCGUACCCUGAGCAGAACCACAGACGUGAGCAAGCUCUUUCCUGAGAGAAAGAAUGAUGAUGCCUCGUUCUUUAACUGGACUGAACUGAGUAUGCUCAAUGCUGGCCAAUGGUUUUUAAAGGAUGACCCAUACUGGGCGGUGCACCACAUGUCCGAGCGAGAGCGCCGAUUAGCGGGCAAUCAGACAGUUUGUAGUCUGGAACAGAUGCUACGGCUGGCAGCCAGCGCCAAUCUCUCAGCCCUGUUUACCCUCCGCAGACCUCCACCGGGGCACCCACACUACCUGAGCUGGGUUAACCUCACCCUGACCAGCAUCCUGAACUCCAGUAUCCCUCAGCACCUGGUGGUGUGGAGUGUGGACUGGGACAGAGACCUGGUACGGCAGCAGGCUCCAGGCUUCCAGCAGAUCUCCACUAAGAAACAGACGCCGGAGGAUCUCCAUGAGGAAGGCAUCGGCAGGUUACUGCUGCGCUACAACCGUGUCAGUGAAGAGGAAAUACGGAAGUACACAGCCAAUAACGUGAGUGUGACUCUGUACUCGGUGAAUGAGCCGUGGUUGUACUCUGUGCUCUGGUGCAGCGGCGUGCCCUCCGUCUCUUCGGAAGCGCCGCAGAUCCUCAAGAAUGUUUUAUCACCUCUCUGGCUAAUGACUCCGGACGAGUACCGCUUGAUUUGGGUCUCUACGGAUCUCGUCUCCUUCGCUCUGGUCGUGGGGAUUUUUGUCUUUCAGAACUAUCACUUGAUCAGAUGGCGGAUGAGUGGCAUGCGUAGCUACAACCCGGAGCAGAUCAUGCUUAGCGCCGCCGUUAGGAGGUCGAGCCGAGACGUCAACAUCAUGAAGGAGAAGCUCAUCUUCUCUGGUCAGCCACAGUAGCAGUUUAACCCCAGCUGUAACCCUCCAUCAUCAUCACCUCAUCUCCCAUACUGUACCAUCCUGCUCCUACCUGAUCCAUCCUGCACCAUCCCUAACCAUCACGAUCCAUCCUGCAUCCUCUAUCAUCAUCCUGUUCCAUCCCUAACCAUACUGGACCAUCCUGAACCAUCCACCAGCUUGCUUCCUCCCAAUGCAUCCUGACAUCCAUCUAUCCACCCACCCAUCUAUCUAUCCAUCUAUUCCUCACUCCGUUCUUCACCACCAGUUGUAGCUCAUAAGUGGCUCUGGUAGUCAUGACCAGUGCUCUCUUCAUGAGGUCAGCGAGGGGGUCAGCUAUGAGGAAAAUGGCUUCGACUGCUACACCAAUCAGGACGUUCACUGACUCUGCGCUCCACAUCCACAUGGGCAAAAAAAGUACGAUUUACGACUCGGACAUACUGCCAGACCUGCUUUUCUUUUCCGUUCUCUUUCUUUUUCUCUCUCUCUUUCUCUUUUUUUCUUCUACUCUGCUUUCCAUCACUGCUUUGCCAUGUUCAGAGUUUUCCGUGUUCAGUGUCUCCGUGAGCUGCAGAGCAUCAUUGUAUUACUAAAGGAACAUCAGUGUAUAUUUUGUAUAGUUUUUCUUCGUUUUGUACUGUAAAUUGCUUGUAA